GGCAGAGCCCAGCACUGAACCGCCAGUCUUUGAAAGGGUUGCGCAGAAUGUAGUGUUUGGGAGAGCCUUCUCAUGAUGCGCGGUGCAAAAUCUGUCUAAGUCCACCUUGACUGGGGCCACUACCCAUAGAGGGUGAUAGGCCCGUAAGACAGUCUGCGUGUUGUGCUGGCUUUUUCCCUGGAGUCGAGUUGCUUGGGAGUGCAGCUCAAAGUGCGUGGUAAACUCCACGUAAGGCUAAAUAUCAGGCGACGGUAGAAACUGCGC
rnacentral:rRNA from 1 species